rnacentral:tRNA from 1 species
GCCUGGGUGGCUCAGUCGGUUGAGCGUCCGACUUCGGCUCAGGUCAUGAUCUCACAGCUUGUGGGUUCAAACCCUGCGUCGGGCU